GACGAACGCUGGCGGCGUGCUUAACACAUGCAAGUCGAACGGCAAGGCCCUGCUUUUGUGGGGUGCUCGAGUGGCGAACGGGUGAGUAACACGUGAGUAACCUGCCCUUGACUUUGGGAUAACUUCAGGAAACUGUGGCUAAUACCGGAUAGGAGCUCCUGCUGCAUGGUGGGGGUUGGACAGUUUCGGCGGUUGGGGAUGGACUCGCGGCUUAUCAGCUUGUUGGUGGGGUAGUGGCUUACCAAGGCUUUGACGGGUAGCCGGCCUGAGAGGGUGACCGGCCACAUUGGGACUGAGAUACGGCCCAGACUCCUACGGGAGGCAGCAGUGGGGAAUAUUGCACAAUGGGCGGAAGCCUGAUGCAGCAACGCCGCGUGCGGGAUGACGGCCUUCGGGUUGUAAACCGCUUUCGCCUGUGACGAAGCGUGAGUGACGGUAAUGGGUAAAGAAGCACCGGCUAACUACGUG
rnacentral:rRNA from 1 species